CCUACGGGAGGCAGCAGUGAGGAAUAUUGGUCAAUGGGCUUACGCCUGAACCAGCCAAGUCGCGUGAGGGAAGACUGCCCUAUGGGUUGUAAACCUCUUUUGUCAGGGAGCAACGCCGGCUACGUGUAGCCGGACUGAGAGUACCUGAAGAAAAAGCAUCGGCUAACUUCGUUCCAGCAGCCGCGGUAAUACGGGGGAUUCGAGCGUUAUCCGGAUUUAUUGGGUUUAAGGGGUUCGUUGGCGUACUGCCAAGUGAGCGGUAAAAUCGCGGGGCUAAACCUCGCUCUGCCGUUGAAACUGGCGUUCUUGAGUGGGCGAGAAGUAUGCGGAAUGCGUGGUGUAGCGGUGAAAUGCAUAGAUAUCACGCAGAACUCCGAUUGCGAAGGCAGCAUACCGGCGUCCAACUGACGCUGAAGCACGAAAGCGUGGGUAUCGAACAGGAUUAGAUACCCGGGUAGUC
rnacentral:rRNA from 1 species